GUCUCAUGGUAAAAAUUUUCAGCAGUCUUCCCAGUAUCGGCUCAGGAGCCUGUCCUGAAGGCUGCAGCUAUUGAAAAGAAACAGAUGUAAUGUUCAGCGUGUGUGUUCCAGAAGCAGCAGACAGAGGACAGGGUACUGCUGGGAUCAGAGUCUGACACAUCCCCAGGGCCCCUGCGUCCGCCCCAAGGAGCGCAGCGCUCUCUUGUCUGUCCAGAAAACACAAGGCGUGAUUACCCAAAGGCACAGACUUGCUAUGGGAUGCCAAGAAGAGCCUUUGGGGAUUGUGUAGGGCUUAUCGUGGGAUGUCUGUGGGAAGAACAAGGAGGGGUAUAAAGGGAGGGACCAGUGCAGUCUGGGGAGGAACGAGCAUGGAAAAACAGGGAAAGGGCACUGGGGUGCUGCUCUGGCUGUGCCAUGUCUUCUGACUGAGCUCUCCUUAUAGCCAUCUCCCAGGUUAGGGGCUCUGUUCAAUGCACAGAGCACGUAAGAAAGCGGAAGCAGCAGAACGUGGAGGGAGCCUCAAACCCUAGCAGCUGGAGGAACCGGGGUGUAGGAUGCAUGAUGGUGUGUGCAAGUGCUAGCACACAGCAAGCCGGGCCGGCUGGUGACUGCGGCCCUCCCGUGCUCCUCGUCCCUGCCCUGCUGGCAGAGAUGGAAGAACAGCCAGAUACGGAAUUGAGAAAGCACAACGAUCAGAAGGACUGUGAAAAGGAGCCUGCUGGCAUGAUGAGUGAUGAUGAGUGGAAGGACUGGCAAAAAGGACAGGCUAGGAGGAACACGCUGUACCUCGUAUCCGCAGCCACUCAGUGGAUAUUACUGCUUGCCUGCUUGAUUUACCUUGGCACAGAUUCUCUGCAACUCUGGACGCCUCACAACAACAAAGUCAAGUGGACCUUCACCCGGUACACAGGUGGGUGGGCAGCCAGGCAGGGGUCUCCUGGUGCUCUGGGGCACUUGUCCCACUUCCCAAAUGGAUCCCCAUGGUGCCUGGGGGCUCUGGUAGCCCAAGUACCUGGUGCUGUGGCAUUGGUGGAGG
rnacentral:lncRNA from 1 species